CGCGGCGCGGGCGUCAGCAGACAGCGGCCCGCGCGCCUCCUCCUCGGCGCUCGCCGCCGCCGCCGCCUCCCGGAGCGUCUCCUGCCUUCGCGCGCCAGGCCCGCGGCGGCCGGCACCGGCGGUCGGAGCAUGUCCUCGUCGGGCCCAGCCGCGGACGGAGACGGCGCCCCCGCCGCGCCCGCGGCCGACAAAGAACCCGAGAUGCCCGGCCCGAGAGACGAAAGUGAAGAGGAGGACGAGGACGACGACGAGGAGGAGGAGGAGGAGGAGGAGGAAAAAGAAAAGAGUCUCAUCGUGGAAGGCAAGAGGGAAAAGAAAAAAGUAGAGAGAUUGACCAUGCAAGUCUCUUCCUUACAGAGAGAGCCAUUUACAAUUGCACAAGGAAAGGGGCAGAAACUUUGUGAAAUUGAGAGGAUACAUUUCUUCCUGAGUAAAAAGAAAACAGAUGAACUUAGAAAUCUACAUAAACUGCUUUACAACAGACCAGGCACAGUGUCCUCAUUAAAGAAGAAUGUGGGUCAGUUCAGUGGCUUUCCAUUUGAAAAAGGAAGUGCCCAGUAUAAAAAGAAGGAAGAAAUGUUGAAAAAAUUUAGAAAUGCCAUGUUAAAGAGCAUCUGUGAGGUUCUUGAUUUGGAGAGAUCGGGUGUAAAUAGUGAACUGGUGAAGAGGAUCUUGAAUUUCUUAAUGCAUCCAAAGCCUUCUGGCAAACCAUUGCCAAAAUCUAAAAAAAGUUCUAGCAAAGGCAACAAAAAGGAACGGAACAGUUCUGGAAUGGCAAGGAAAGCUAAGCGAACCAAAUGUCCUGAAAUCCUGUCAGAUGAAUCUAGCAGUGAUGAAGAUGAAAAGAAAAACAAGGAAGAGUCUUCAGAUGAUGAAGAUAAAGAAAGUGAAGAGGAGCCCCCAAAAAAGACUUCUAAAAGAGAAAAACCUAAGCAGAAAGCCACUUCUAAGAGUAAGAAAACUGUCAAGAGUGCUAAUGUUAAGAAGGCAGAUAGCAGCACCACCAAGAAAAAUCAGAACAGUUCCAAAAAAGAAAGUGAAUCCGAGGAUAGUUCAGAUGAUGAACCUUUAAUUAAAAAAUUAAAGAAACCUCCUACAGAUGAAGAGUUAAAGGAAACCGUGAAGAAACUAUUGGCUAGUGCCAACUUGGAGGAAGUCACAAUGAAGCAGAUUUGCAAGGAGGUCUCUGUGCUAAAGACAGAGUCACAUCUGCACAAAGUGAUUACAGUAAUGUUCAGCAUGUCUGUAAUGUUGAAAAAUCACAAGCUAACUGGCCAUCAAUAGGGAAAUGUUUAAACUGGUACAUCUAUUUUUGGAAUGCUAUGUAGCAGUUCAAAAGAACAUGGAAAAACCUUCCAGGUAUAUGAAAAUUAUCCUGCUUAUGAUUUAACUGAAAGAAAAGAUUUCAUAAAAACAACCGUGAAAGAGCUGAUUUCUUGAGGCAGUGGAGACAGAGGACUUGUCCCAUGGACGUAAAGAUCUGAUUUAUACCAUUAUACCAGCAAAGAGAAUGUAUUUCCUUUUCUAAAUCCCUGCAAGCAUUGUGUUGGUACAACUUACUGCUGAUCUUUUUAUCUUGAGUGUUAUGUAAUUUGAGUUUGUUGUUUUAAAUUGCAUUUCUAUGCAGUUUUAGUUUAAAAUUUUGCAUGGCAGUCACUGUUCCUUGCUUUUAUAGUUGUAUUUUGUACAUUUUGGAUUUCUUUAUAUGAGAUCGUAGAUUCUCGAACUGUUGUAGUUUUUAGCGCGCUUAGUAUUCGCUUCAGACAUACUUUUAAUCAAGUAGAAUAAACUAUUACUGACAUUUAUACAUGCAGAGACUAUGGCAGUAUUUAGUAUAUGAAAUAUUUUGAAUACACAUCUGUCAGUGGCGGUGUGUUCAUCAUAUUAAAAAUAUACAGGCUUCAGCUAUCCAGAUGAUUAAAUUGGAAAUUUUCUGCUGCAUGUGUAUAUAUGUCAAAUUGUCAGCAUGACAAAAGUGACAGAUGUUAUUUUUGUAUUUUUAAAAACAAAUUUGUUGUAUAUAAAGUUUUUUUAUUUCUUUUGUGCAGAUCAAUUUUUAAACUCCUCUAGGUAGGUAUCUUUACAGUUAAACUUUGAAAUGUCAGUGUUCGGCCAGAUGGUAUGACGGAGCAGUGAAAGUCAGAAUUCAGUGGAGAAAACACUGAAGGAACAGAUCGUUCUCUGCUUUGCCUCAGAAGUGUCAUCAAUUUGUAGUUUUAGUGUUAACUCUGCAAGUGUCUGUAGAUACAUUUUAUAUUAAGGAUCAACCAAAUCAAUACAUCAGAACUUCAAAAUUUGGGGACAGGGUGGAAUCAAUUAAGUACAAGCACAUUUGGCAUAUAAUAAAUGAACUGAUUUUUAACUGCUUUUGCCCAUCCAUAUAAAAUGCUGAUAUUUACCGGAAAGGGGGCCACCUCUAUGAUUAUGAUAAAUGUACUGAGUAUAACGCUAGAAGACAAUGUGUAGGCAAUAGUGGGUAUCUCCAACAAAGUAUUUCUCAGAAGUGGUAAAAAGACUUAUUUUUAACAUUAAAGAAAUUUAAUGUAUUUGUGGAAUCAGGGCUUUUGGGUUUAAAUUUUGGCCAAUCAGGAUUCUAGGUGAUCCAACAUGCAGACCACUCCUGAAUGAGACUGUUUAAUCUUUUAAAUUGUCUUAAUCAGUUUAUUAAAUCUCAAUUUUAAAAUAAAACCUGCUACUUAACAAUUAGGCCUUUGAUAAAUCAGUUGAGUGAUUAAAUAAAAAAUCCAUCAGUAGAACCAGAAAGAUAAAAAUAUGUGUUGACUGUUAGGUAUUUUAACAGGUUUGACUUGUUUCUUGAUAAAUACAAAUGAAUGGCGUAAACAACUAAAUGAAACCUAAGAAUUGGCCUUUGAUUUUAAAUAUUUAAUUUGUUCCUAUAAACCUUGUCAAUAAAAAUAAUAAAUCCAU